AGAUAAGGAUAUCCUUAAACAGCUGUUUAUAGCUACUGUGACAGAAACAGAAAAGCAGUGGACAACACAUUUCAAAGAAGAUCAAGUUUAACUUCAGCUGAUUGCAGAGAUAUAAUGAUUACAUUGUUAUUAAAUUUUUUUAACACAAGUAAGUGUCACCAUUUUAUGACAUGAAAUAAAAGGUUAUGACUGUUAUUGA